AACGCACCUUGCGCCUUUUGGUAUUCCGAAAGGCAUGCCUGUUUGAGUGUCAUGAAACAUCAAUCCCCCUCGGGUUUUCGGACCGGAGGUGGACUUGGACUUGGGCGUCUUUGCCAGGCUCUGGCUCGCCUUAAAAGCGUUAGUAGGUAUGAAGACCUUUCUGGCCGGACGUAAUAAGUUUCGUCUGUGCUGUCUGGGCUUGCAACCCGCUCACAACCCACCAUACUCUUUUACUUCUGACCUCAAAUCAGGUAGGGCUACCCGCUGAACUUAA
rnacentral:misc_RNA from 1 species